rnacentral:rRNA from 1 species
ACUCCUACGGGAGGCAGCAGUGGGGAAUAUUGCACAAUGGGCGCAAGCCUGAUGCAGCCAUGCCGCGUGUAUGAAGAAGGCCUUCGGGUUGUAAAGUACUUUCAGCAGUGAGGAAGGGUAGUAGUAGUUAAUAGCUGCUAUUAUUUGACGUUAGCUAGAGAAGAAGCGACCGCUAACUCCGUGCCAGCAGCCGCGGUAAUACGGAGGGUGCGAGCGUUAAUCGGAAUUACUGGGCGUAAAGCGUCU